rnacentral:rRNA from 1 species
GACGAACGCUGGCGGCGUGCUUAACACAUGCAAGUCGAACGGAAAGGCCCUGCUUGCAGGGUACUCGAGUGGCGAACGGGUGAGUAACACGUGGGUGAUCUGCCCUGCACUUCGGGAUAAGCCUGGGAAACUGGGUCUAAUACCGGAUAGGAGCCAUUUUUAGUGUGAUGGUUGGAAAGUUUUUUCGGUGUAGGAUGAGCUCGCGGCCUAUCAGCUUGUUGGUGGGGUAAUGGCCUAACAAGGCGGCGACGGGUAGCCGGCCUGAGAGGGUGGACGGCCACAUUGGGACUGAGAUACGGCCCAGACUCCUACGGGGGGCAGCAGUGGGGAAUAUUGCACAAUGGGCGCAAGCCUGAUGCAGCGACGCCGCGUGGGGGAUGACGGGCUUCGGGUUGUAAACUCCUUUCGCUAGGGACGAAGCUUUUUGUGACGGUACCUAGAGAAGAAGCACCGGCUAACUACGUG